rnacentral:rRNA from 1 species
UACGUAGGGGGCAAGCGUUGUCCGGAGUUACUGGGCGUAAAGCGCACGCAGGCGGAUCGUUAAGUCGGGGGUGAAAUCCCGAGGCUCAACCUCGGAACUGCCUUCGAUACUGGCGAUCUUUGAGUCCGGGAGAGGUGAGUGGAACUCCGAGUGUAGAGGUGAAAUUCGUAGAUAUUCGGAAGAACACCAGUGGCGAAGGCGGCUCACUGGCCCAUAACUGACGCUGAGGCACGAAAGCGUGGGGAGCCAAACA